UACGGAGGGUGCAAGCGUUAUCCGGAUUCACUGGGUUUAAAGGGUGCGUAGGCGGGCAGGUAAGUCCGUGGUGAAAUCUCUGAGCUUAACUCAGAAACUGCCAUGGAUACUAUUUGUCUUGAAUAUUGUGGAGGUAAGCGGAAUAUGUCAUGUAGCGGUGAAAUGCGCAGAUAUCGGGAAGAACACCCGUGGCGAAGGCGGCUCUCUGGGACGGUACUGGACGCUGAGACGCGAAAGCGUGGGGAGCAAACAGG
rnacentral:rRNA from 1 species